GUCUACGGCCAUGCCACCCUGAACAUGCACGAUCUCAUCUUGGAAGCUAAGCAAGGUCGGGCCUGGUUGGUACUUAGAUGAGAGGAAAAACAAGAUAAAUGCUUAGUUU
rnacentral:rRNA from 1 species